CUGCAUUUCGGGAACCCGGAUGCUGCGCAUGCGCUUCUUUCAUCUUCCCAUCAUGGCCGCCGCCUGUGCUUCUCUGCUAAGUCACCCUGCACUCAUUGGAUCUCAUUGGAUCAGCUGACUACCUAGACCGGUAACCUGGCUCAAUCAGUUCUGCCAUUCCACCCAGGAACAGAAAACAGCAAGAAAACCUCACUUCGACUCCCUGUGAUUCCGUCUUCAACCUGACCAAUCAGCACUUCCCGCUUCUCAAGCUCCUACUCGCCAAAUUAUCUUUAAGAACUCUGAUCCUCAAAUACUCAGGGAGACUAAUUUGUGUAAUAAUAAAACUCUGGUCUCCCACA